rnacentral:lncRNA from 1 species
UCCAUGAUGUGCCCAGGCUAGAUGAAGUGCAGAAUGAGAGAUGUGCUCCUCAACCAAAAUAUACCAAACUUAGCUACAUUCACUCAAGCUUCCUCUUGACUCCCCUAACCUUUCCACCUAGGAAUAUAUAUCCACUUUAGUCCCCACUAGGGAUGAUGUGGGUAUAUGCUGACAGGAAAAGUCAUCCAUGGAAGUAUAGGGAGAUAGUUGAACUCUCCAGAGGAGCUAGAGUCCAGACUGUGAGGUCAGAGCUAAAUUCAACCCCACAACUGUCUCUUGGGUUCACACUACUCCCCCCAAAGUGAAAAUUUCUUUGGGGGCCUUGGUCACCAAUAGUUAUCCAGACUUCAAGGCACUGUGGAUUUGAAUCCAUUCCUGCUUGACCUCUUCUUUUUGUCCCUUCCUAACUUCACAGUCCUUGAGCCCCUCCUUGGUUGGGCCCCAAGCAUCGUUCCCAGAAGUUUUUCUUUCUCCAUCCACUCCUACCAAUGUCCAAAGUGGAGCAGACUACACCCAAAUUGCAAAGCUGGAAGGUCUCAAGCCUUUUCUCCAUGGACAGAGACCAACUUCAAGGCCAGUUCUAUAGACUGGUGAACCAAGUUGGAAUUCUUUGCCUAAGUUUGGGACAGUGGUGUCUCCAUCCCUUUUCCUUCCUUAUAAGCUCCUGUCAGAAACUCCACCUCUACCCCAAGAUAGGCACUGAACUGAGGAAGUCUUGACCCAAAAGCAAUGAAGGGGGCACUCUAGGCAGAAGAGAUAUUGUGACCCUGGUUGUGGAGUGGCCCUGGAAAAGCGAGCCAGAGGAGCUAAGAGGCUGGGAACAUGUGUUUGGGGUGGGGCUAUUCUCUCAGUGAUGAUGAUAGGAAUGCCUUUCUGAGGGCUGGGGUGCAAAGACCAAGGUGGGAGGGCAAAUAGGGUAGACUCGGGAGGGUUUUCCUCCAUUUCCCUUUUCUAACUGCCUGGAUUCAUCAUUGGAUUUUGUAAAUGGAAAAAGUGAAAUGAACAAUGUUAUAUUGG